GGAGGGGUGGGGCAGCACAUGGGGCUUGUGAAAGUGAGCCCCGUUCCCCAUCACCGCUCUUCAGAAGAACUGAAAACAACUAGGCACACACGCACAAGAAUCAGUCUGGGGGAUGCCAGCAUCCUCCCAGCCCCACUUCACCCAUCCAGCCCCACAGAAUACGCUUCAGGCUACCCGCACAGUGGACCUUCUUGCAGAGAAAAGAAAAGAGUAGGCUGGCCCUCUAGACACAUUCCUCAGGCUGGCGGCUUUUCCACGGAUGGAGAUGUUUAGCUGCUUACAAGAUGACAUCUUUUAACAGUGUACACGUCUUCAAC